UUGAAACAAAGGCAAAUCCGUACGAAAGUCGGAGACGCAAAGCCACGGGUCUACUUCAUCCAAAGGAGGAUGUUAAGACAGCCGGGCCGCUCAA
rnacentral:ncRNA from 1 species